CGUUUUAGGAGAAAGUUUGACGAUUAGUUAAGAAUAAGGGUUAAAGUGCAAAUUAGCCACUUUAAGGACUAAAGUGGACUUUUAACCACAAACUUCCGGAGGAAGUUGUGUUUUACUCUAUUUUCUCAAGAUAAGAAAAUAAUAUCGGUAAAGUUGUUAUUGAUAGUCAUUAAAAUGAAAAUUGGACGAAAAAGUGAGAAAAAGUGCAAGUUAGCUCAAAAUGGAAAUUUGAGCGUUUUUGGCCAAAAUUGCCAAAAUAAAUUGUUGGAGGGUGAUAUUAUAAGGUAUGAUACUAUUGUUAUUUAUUUGGGAAAUAAAUAAUACGGAAUUUAUCGAGAAUCGAAUGAUUAAAGGAUUAGUGGACUAAAUUGGACGAAAUAAAAGUUAUAAAGUGAAAGUUGAGGAGGUGACAAACUCAAGGACUAAAGGAGACUUUUGCCUCACCUAUUUAAGACACUUGCAUAUGAGUUUAAACUCAGCAAGCAUAUCAUUUUCAGCUCCUAAAAUUCGUCCUUCACCCUUUCUCCAUGGAAGAACAUCAAGCAAAUUUCAAAUGGUCAUAACUCACUCAAUUUUGAUCCGAAUUGAGCGAUUCUUGUGGCCACGGAACGAGGGAAGGAUCCUCUACUGAUAUAUAGUAUCAAUUUAAGGUUAUUGAAAGCUUGAAGGGAGUAUUUUGAUGGUUGUUCAUGGAGGAAUUCAUUCAACCAAAGGGUUAUCCCAUCAAGAAAAGCGUUAUCGAAAUUGCGUAGACUCGAAGAAGCGACUAUCGAUAAGGCUCGAGGCGAAUGGAUCGAGAUAUCGUCGUGCUUAUUUAAAGAAUUUGGAUAGCAAGUGGGAUGGUAUGAUAUGAUUUGAAGAGUUAAGCUUCCGAAGUUUUAAUUCUCGGAAGUCAUUUGUAUAAGAAGAAAAAGAAGGUUUUCAUUCUAGCGGUCCGCAGUAGUCUAGAUAUUUUAACUAGAAUUUUGUAUAACGCGUUUUUAACUCUGAUAUUAUUUGUAAAUGGGGUCACAUGUAUUUUAAUAUAUGAAAUAUGUUUUGAUUUGCGAAAAAAAUUUACACAGGUUUUUAGGCUUGCUACGGGAUUUGGAGCUACCACUCCCAUUCCCUAGCGCCGGUCGCGGCUCAUAAAUUUGGGUCGUGACAAAGGUGGUAUCAGAGCAAUGGUUUAGAAUUCCUAGGCCAUUAUUCUUUUAUGAUUGAAGUAUAGGAAAGUGUCGAUCAAUAUAUAGGAACUACUGCGGAUUAUAGGGAUUUCCAGUCAUGUCUUUUGAACGUUAUCAAUGUUUUCAUCGAUUUUUCAAACGUUUUACAAAGACGUCCCCUCCUAUACGUGCUAUUAGGAGUCGAGUUAGGAGUGUGCAUGAGCACAAAUUGUGUUUUGUGUUUACUCAAGUAAGCAAUACGCUUUCGAGUAUCUAUAGUCUGCGAAGAGUUAUAUACUCUCGAGACUCAUAUGAUAAAAGAAUAUCGUUAUGGACUAUGAUUGAAUUAAUUGAUUUAAUAGUAUAUGAUUGAUGAGAUAUGCGAUGCGUUACUAAACACGAUCACUCAGGAGAGUGAUAUGCUCACAGGUAUGUACGCCUGUGAUAAUGUAUGCGAUACGUGACAUGUGUGUAUAUGAAUGGUUAUUAUGGAUAGAACUUGCGCUUAUUGAUUGGAUGCUGUUUAAUUUUGCUAAGUCUAUAGUGAGUGGAAUGCUCGCAAGACUUAAAGUACGCGACGCCACCGAGGAAAAUCUAGGAAGCACUGAUUUUCUUUGGACUCAGUCAAUAUAUAUGCUUAUAGCCACGAUAGUGACGCGCGUAGAACAUAGAUAUCAUGAUUAUAUGUUUUGAUGUUUUGCUAAGUCUACAAUGAGUAAGAACACUCAGAAGACUUGCAAUACGAGAUGUAAUCGUAGAAAACCUAGAGGAAGGAGGUAUCCCUAAGGAUCCAACUUACGCGGAUGACUGUUAUUUGUGAUGACUAGUAUGUGCUAUAUUUUAAGGAAUUCAUCGUGAUUCCUUUAUAUAUAUCCGCCAUACUAUGAACAAAGAAUUGCUCGAGCACGUGUUGUUGCACAGUAAGUGCACGAGGCCCAAGGAGAAGCCAGAAGUAAUGAAGGUCAAUGUAACCUAAUCCAUUCGGCCGAUAGAGGCCAGGGACGAGGCAAAGAUCAAGAAGAACCUGGUAUAGACAUAGUGGAAAUAUAUGGGCACCAGGAGUGCCGCAGCAACCCAAUGUCAAUAUUAAUCAGUUAACAGCAGAAAUAACUGAUAUAAGGAAUUGUAUGCCAAUGAUGGGGCAGUUGAUACAAAGACAGUAUCAACGUGAAGAGAGAAACACAAAUAGAGAUGGAUAUUAGCAUACAUGGAGUUAUACCCCAAAAGGAGUCUGAUGGAUCAAAGGAUACACUAGAGUUUCUAGAAAGAAGUGAAGAGUAAGAUAUUAACAGCAAGUAUAACCCAAGGGUUAGUGUUACAGUAGAUAGUAACCCAAAGGACGAAUCGCAAUAAGGUGAAUAGUGAGAAUAUAAUAAGAAGAAAAGCAAUGUCCAAAGGGAACUAAUGUGAAUACGUGUUAGGGGCCAAUAAGGUGGCAAAGAGGAUUCGAACAAGAUAGUGAUCAAUAGGAUUAUGAUAUCGUGAAGAUUAUAAAGGAUGUUAGUAAGUGCCAUAAGAAUUAGCAAACUUCUCUACACGAGUAAGAAGAUAGAUAAGAGUAAAUGAAAGGGAGUUGGUUAACAGACCCGAGAGUCAAUAAUCAAGAUAAGUGAUAGGCGUGGAAGUAAAGAAACUGCUAAAGGCAGCAUAUGGUAAGAAAGGUUGAAUAAAUUGAGAAACUCAUCGGGAAUAAAUAAACGAAGUGUAUCACAUAGACCAGAAGAUAUGAUGAAGGUUAAUGAGAGGAAUAUAACAGGAGACGCUAAAAAAAAAAAUAACGACAAAAGUGAAAAGACCGAAAGGCGAUGCAGCCAGACUCAUAAGAACGAUAGACAAGGGAAAGUAGCCAAGGAUGCUAGAAACUAUUCGUCCGUCUUUGGAACAAAGAAUUUCCAACCUUGCAAAUCCCAUGUGCCCGCAACGCGGCAGAAGUCACUUGGGUAAAGGUCAAGCUAUAAUCAAUGUAUGCAAUUGGUGUGGACAACAAGGUCACUAUGAUAAGGAAUACUCGCAGUCCGUGUAAGUGGAAUACCACAGAUGACGCAAAUCAACUGUCUCCUAAAAGACGUAGUUCUCACGAUGUGUUCUGGUUAAAUACAAUCAAAUAGAUUGCGUAGUUGAAGAAAACAUCGUGAAGUCCGAACGUUAGAAGCUCAAUAACGAUUAAACCUUUCGAGAUAGUCUAGUAUAGACACGAACGUUUAGAACGUACUCUUCAAACGACGUUUGAACGAGACGAGUGGAACCACAUCUUUUCAUGUGCAAAAGAUGUAUAUAGAUUACGAACGGCAAAACAACAAACGAUAAGAACGAAUAGAAAUACAGAGUCUGAUGUCGAAAGAAACUUACGUAAAACCGUUUUAUGAAAAGAAAAGUAUUUGAUUGAAAUGAAAUGUUUUGAAAAGACAUAAUUGUGCCCGGACACGAAUCAUAAAAACAUUGCAUUGACACGAAUAGAAUUGCAUCACUACAUCCAUAUUGCAUUCACUAGUAGGACAUGCAUCAUAUACAUUGUGUGUCUGAAAAGAAAAGAGGAGUGUCAUUGCAACUCUUGUGAUGAGAGAAGUCAUCACACCGGUGCACAAUUAUGACAUGAUUUGAGAAAUGAAAGGUAUCAUGGUUUUAAGCGGAUAAGUUUUUAAACGUAAGUAAGCUCAGACAGGGACUCUGUAUAUAGAGGCAUAGGACAAGACUGAUCAUCUUGUUAGGCAUAUAUGAAAACAUACGUAUGUAACACGACAAGUAUAUAGAACGACGAGUAGUGUAAUGCGAAUCGCAACGUAUUGAGAUUUGAAUUGCAAAUCUCUAAGGUGGUCUUGUAUAUUAAAUACAAGAACAACGACGCUACUUUACAAACAUGUAAAGUGACAGCGGACGUGUUUAAAUUCGAAGCACGUUUACCUCUAGGACGAGGAAAUCGAAUAUAGAAGUUAGUUACGUUAGGGGAUAUGAACCCUACGAACAAACAUAUGUUGUUCAGAAAGGUCGAAUAAAGAGAAUUGAUUCAUAAUAGUUAUGAAUCAAGAAGUAACAAGAUGGUUAGGAUUGUUAGCAUAAAAAGUACUCGAUAAGUGAUGACCGUAUAAACCUAAUUGUAAAGUCAACAGUUAGUGAAUAACUAAUCAGAGUAUCGCAGCGGAAGUGUGGAAGGAAGUGAAUGAUAAGGUUUGAACAAGGAUUGGUUAAGUGAUAUUAGAAGAUUAUGAAAAUUCGAGGACGAAUUUUUAUAAGGGGGGAAGAUUGUAAUAACCUAAAUUUUUGAGGUAUUACGUGUAGUGCCACGAGGCAUAAUCGUAAAGAUUAAGAAUGAGAAAAUCAGAUUAGGAUUGGAUAAUAAGGACUUAGACCGAAGAGGGUCUAUUGGAAUUAUUGUAGGAUAAUAAUUUAAAUGGAAAAUUAUUAUGCGAUGAAUUGGAUUUAAUCGGGACAAAAAUGGAAUAAGAUAAAAUAAGUUGGAAAGCCAGAGUUAAUAAUAUUCACGUCAAGGUCCGUGAAAUAUUAUUAAUAAAUGAUCGUCAAAGUUUUGUAAGUAUACGAAAUCGUUUUAGGAGAAAGUUUGACGAUUAGUUAAGAAUAAGGGUUAAAGUGCAAAUUAGCCACUUUAAGGACUAAAGUGGACUUUUAACCACAAACUUCCGGAGGAAGUUGUGUUUUACUCUAUUUUCUUAAGAUAAGAAAAUAAUAUCGGUAAAGUUGUUAUUGAUAGUCAUUAAAAUGAAAAUUGGACGAAAAAGUGAGAAAAAGUGCAAGUUAGCUCAAAAUGGAAAUUUGAGCGUUUUUGGCCAAAAUUGCCAAAAUAAAUUGUUGGAGGGUGAUAUUAUAAGGUAUGAUACUAUUGUUAUUUAUUUGGGAAAUAAAUAAUACGGAAUUUAUCGAGAAUCGAAUGAUUAAAGGAUUAGUGGACUAAAUUGGACGAAAUAAAAGUUAUAAAGUGAAAGUUGAGGAGGUGACAAACUCAAGGACUAAAGGAGACUUUUGCCUCACCUAUUUAAGACACUUGCAUAUGAGUUUAAACUCAGCAAGCAUAUCAUUUUCAGCUCCUAAAAUUCGUCCUUCACCCUUUCUCCAUGGAAGAACAUCAAGCAAAUUUCAAAUGGUCAUAACUCACUCAAUUUUGAUCCGAAUUGAGCGAUUCUUGUGGCCACGGAACGAGGGAAGGAUCCUCUACUGAUAUAUAGUAUCAAUUUAAGGUUAUUGAAAGCUUGAAGGGAGUAUUUUGAUGGUUGUUCAUGGAGGAAUUCAUUCAACCAAAGGGUUAUCCCAUCAAGAAAAGGUAUAAAUUCAGAAUUUUGGACUUUUGGUAAUGAAUUGAUUGAAUUGAGUGGAGUAUUGGUUAAGUUUGAAGUUGGAUUUUCUGGUUUGGUGUUGAAUUGAUGCUGUCUACGACUAGAAUUUUUUGAAAUACUUAGAAAUGUUUGUUUGAGCUGGAAUUUUUAUAUGUUCUGAGUAUAUGAGUUAAGUUGGUGUAUAAAAAAUUUCAGAAUUUUUCAUGUUUCUGAUAUUGAGAUAAAAAUUAAAUAGCACCUAGUGCUCUGUUUGCAAAUUGUGUAAGGCUGCUGCUGUAAGUUAAUUAUUUGAGGACCUUAAACACAUUAGUUUGGCCUAA